AGAGGCAGCUGCAGAGGCUGGAGAAGGAUGAAAGGGAGCACCUGAGACUCCUUGGGGAGAAGGAGGCUGAGCUGGCUGAGAAGAACCAGGCCCUGCAGGAACUGAUCUCAGAGCUGGAGAGGAGGAGCCGAGGUUCAGAACUGGAGCUAUUGAAGGUGCGAUCCCUACGCAGGCGCAAGGAAUAACUAGGAAAAGGCCAGCACUGUCUGGAACCGCUCUUAAAAAGGAAGUGCUGCCUUAAUUUUUAGGAUAUUUUUAAAUAAGCUGAAAUGUGAACACUCAAGUGGCUUCCAUUACAGAAUAGCAGGGUACAAACACAAGAGAAAGUAUUCCAUAUAGCAACCAGUAGAUAGCUAUUCCUAGGAGAUGCCCACCACAGCAGGUGUCAGGAGUGGGAAUCAUGUCACCAGGAUGCAUAGUAUCACAUAUCUUAAGUGAUAUUUUUAAAAAGAAAUAAAUGAGAAAAUUCAUUCGAGUUCUUAGACAAAUAGCCAUAGAAUGUUUAUAAAAGUUCAGUAUAUAAAACCGAAGUAUGCCGUUUCUCUCCAAAGUGAUAGCUCAUGGGAAUAAACUGUUUUUCUUUUCU
rnacentral:lncRNA from 1 species